rnacentral:rRNA from 1 species
CUCCCGGAUUCUGCGGCGGACGGGUGAGUAAUGCCUAGGAAUCUGCCUGGUAGUGGGGGAUAACGUCCGGAAACGGGCGCUAAUACCGCAUACGUCCUGAGGGAGAAAGUGGGGGAUCUUCGGACCUCACGCUAUCAGAUGAGCCUAGGUCGGAUUAGCUAGUUGGUGGGGUAAAGGCCUACCAAGGCGACGAUCCGUAACUGGUCUGAGAGGAUGAUCAGUCACACUGGAACUGACACACGGUCCAGACUCCUACGGGAGGCAGCAGUGGGGAAUAUUGGACAAUGGGCGAAAGCCUGAUCCAGCCAUGCCGCGUGUGUGAAGAAGGUCUUCGGAUUGUAAAGCACUUUAAGUUGGGAGGAAGGGCAGUAAGUUAAUACCUUGCUGUUUUGACGUUACCAACAGAAUAAGCACCGGCUAACUUCGUGCCAGCAGCCGCGGUAAUACGAAGGGUGCAAGCGUUAAUCGGAAUUACUGGGCGUAAAGCGCGCGUAGGUGGUUCAGCAAGUUGGAUGUGAAAUCCCCGGGCUCAACCUGGGAACUGCAUCCAAAACUACUGAGCUAGAGUACGGUAGAGGGUGGUGGAAUUUCCUGUGUAGCGGUGAAAUGCGUAGAUAUAGGAAGGAACACCAGUGGCGAAGGCGACCACCCUGGACUGAUACUGACACUGAGGUGCGAAAGCGUGGGGAGCCAACAGGAUUAGAUCCCCUGGUAGUCCACGCCGAAACGAUGUCAA